rnacentral:rRNA from 1 species
UACGUAGGGGGCGAGCGUUGUCCGGAUUUAUUGGGCGUAAAGGGCGUGUAGGCGGCCAGGUAGGUCUGCUGUGAAAACUCGAGGCUCAACCUCGAGACGUCGGCGGAAACCAUCUGGCUAGAGUCCGGAAGAGGAGAGUGGAAUUCCUGGUGUAGCGGUGAAAUGCGCAGAUAUCAGGAAGAACACCCGUGGCGAAGGCGGCUCUCUGGGACGGUACUGACGCUGAUACGCGAAAGCGUGGGGAGCGAACAGG